rnacentral:rRNA from 1 species
GACGAACGCUGGCGGCGUGCCUAACACAUGCAAGUCGAACGGAGACUUUAGCAAUAAAAUCUUAGUGGCGAACGGGUGAGUAACGCGUAGACAACCUGCCUUCUAGAUGGGGACAACACUGCGAAAGUGGUGCUAAUACCGAAUGUUGUAAUUGGAAUGCAUGUUCUGAUUACUAAAGGUGGCCUCUAUUUAUAAGCUAUCGCUAGAAGAUGGGUCUGCGUCUGAUUAGCUAGUUGGUGAGGUAAUGGCUCACCAAGGCGACGAUCAGUAGCCGGUCUGAGAGGAUGAACGGCCACACUGGGACUGAGACACGGCCCAGACUCCUACGGGAGGCAGCAGUGGGGAAUCUUCCGCAAUGGACGAAAGUCUGACGGAGCAACGCCGCGUGAGUGAAGAAGGUUUUCGGAUCGUAAAACUCUGUUUUCAGGGACGAAUGUGCUGAUUGUAAAUAAUGGUUGGUAAUGACGGUACCUGACAAGAAAGCCACGGCUAACUACGUGCCAGCAGCCGCCGUAAAAC